rnacentral:rRNA from 1 species
GUGCCGGUGAUUCAUAAUAACUUUUCGAAUCGCAUGGCCUUGAGCCGGCGAUGGUUCAUUCAAAUUGUCUGCCCUAUCAACUUUCGAUGGUAGGCAUAGAGGCCUACCAUGGUUUGUUACGGGUAACGGGGAAUUAGGGUUCGAUUCCGGAGCAGGGAGCUGAGAAACGGCUGCCACAUCCAAGGAAGGCAGCAGGCGCGCAAAUUACCCAAUACCGAUACGGUGAGGUAGUGACAAUAAAUAACAAUCCAGGGCCCUUAAGGGUCUGGGCAACUUGGAAUGAGUACAAUUUAAAUCCCUUAACGAUUAACAAUUGGAGGGCAAGUCUGGUGCCAGCAGCCGGGUAAUUCCAGCUCCAAUAGCGUAUAUUAAAGUUGUUGCAGUUAAAAAAGCUCGUAGUUGAAUUUCAGACUUGGAUGGGCAGGUCCACUUUGGAUGGUAACUAGCUCUGGCUUGGGGCUUAACCUUUUCUAGGUAGAGCCAGCCAAUGGACCCAUAUACGACUAGGAUAGUAGGCAGGAGGAAACCCAGGGACUUUUU